AUAUCAAUAAGCGGAGGAAAAGAAACUAACAAGGAUUCCCCUAGUAACUGCGAGUGAAGCGGCAACAGCUCAAAUUUGAAAUCUGGCCCUUUCAGGGUCCGAGUUGUAAUUUGUAGAGGGUGUUUCGGUGGAAGUCCCGGCCAAAGUCCCUUGGAACAGGACGUCAGAGAGGGUGAGAACCCCGUGUCUGGCCGGUGGCGCUCCCCGCGUGAAACCCCUUCGACGAGUCGAGUUGUUUGGGAAUGCAGCUCUAAAUUGGUGGUAAAUUCCAUCUAAAGCUAAAUAUUGGCCAGAGACCGAUAGCGCACAAGUA
rnacentral:rRNA from 1 species